rnacentral:rRNA from 1 species
GCCGGCAGCUAGCUCUCUGCAACUCUCACAUGGUCACCCACUGAAGCUAAGCAGGGCUGUGCCCGGUCAGUACCUGGAUGGGAGACCACAUGGGAAAGCUAGGUUGCUGCCGGAA